rnacentral:rRNA from 1 species
CUUGAAAAAGGGAGUUCAAGAAGAGCUUCGAAGAAGCUUUCUUGAUGGAGGGGAGUGGCAGACGGGUGAGUAACGCGUGGGAAUCUACCCAUCCCUACGGAAUAACGCAUGGAAACGUGUGCUAAUACCGUAUACGCCCUACGGGGGAAAGAUUUAUCGGGGAUGGAUGAGCCCGCGUUGGAUUAGCUAGUUGGUGGGGUAAAGGCCUACCAAGGCGACGAUCCAUAGCUGGUCUGAGAGGAUGAUCAGCCACAUUGGGACUGAGACACGGCCCAAACUCCUACGGGAGGCAGCAGUGGGGAAUAUUGGACAAUGGGCGCAAGCCUGAUCCAGCCAUGCCGCGUGAGUGAUGAAGGCCUUAGGGUUGUAAAGCUCUUUCACCGGAGAAGAUAAUGACGGUAUCCGGAGAAGAAGCCCCGGCUAACUUCGUGCCAGCCGCCGCCGUAAUAC